UACGGGGGGGGCAAGCGUUGUUCGGAAUUACUGGGCGUAAAGGGCUCGUAGGCGGCCAACUAAGUCAGACGUGAAAUCCCUCGGCUUAACCGGGGAACUGCGUCUGAUACCGGAUGGCUUGAGGUUGGGAGAGGGAUGCGGAAUUCCAGGUGUAGCGGUGAAAUGCGUAGAUAUCUGGAGGAACACCGGUGGCGAAGGCGGCAUCCUGGACCAAUUCUGACGCUGAGGAGCGAAAGCCAGGGGAGCAAACGGG
rnacentral:rRNA from 1 species